GUCCCAGUAGCCAAUGGACAGUGCAUUGGACUUCUAAUCCGAAGUUCGUGGGUUCAAAUCCUACCUGGAAUG